GUAGGGAAUCUUUGGCAAUGGACGAAAGUCUGACCGAGCAACGCCGCGUGAGUGAAGAAGGUUUUCGGAUCGUAAAACUCUGUUGGUAGAGAAGAACGUUGGUGAGAGUGGAAAGCUCAUCAAGUGACGGUAACUACCCAGAAAGGGACGGCUAACUACGUGCCAGCAGCCGCGGUAAUACGUAGGUCCCGAGCGUUGUCCGGAUUUAUUGGGCGUAAAGCGAGCGCAGGUGGUUUAUUAAGUCUGGUGUAAAAGGCAGUGGCUCAACCAUUGUAUGCAUUGGAAACUGGUAGACUUGAGUGCAGGAGAGUAGAGUGGAAUUCCAUGUGUAGCGGUGAAAUGCGUAGAUAUAUGGAGGAACACCAGUGGCGAAGGCGACUCUCUGGACUGUAACUGACGCUGAGGCUCGAAAGCGUGGGGAGCAAACAGGAUUAGAAACCCGGGUAGUCC
rnacentral:rRNA from 1 species